AUGAACGCUGGCGGCGUGCCUAAUACAUGCAAGUCGAGCGGACGGACGAGAAGCUUGCUUCUCUGAUGUUAGCGGCGGACGGGUGAGUAACACGUGGACAACCUACCUAUAAGACUGGGAUAACUUCGGGAAACCGUAGCUAAUACCGGAUAAUAUUUUGAACCGCAUGGUUCAAAAGUGAAAGACGGUCUUGCUGUCACUUAUAGAUGGAUCCGCGCUGCAUUAGCUAGUUGGUAAGGUAACGGCUUACCAAGGCAACGAUGCAUAGCCGACCUGAGAGGGUGAUCGGCCACACUGGAACUGAGACACGGUCCAGACUCCUACGGGAGGCAGCAGUAGGGAAUCUUCCGCAAUGGGCGAAAGCCUGACGGAGCAACGCCGCGUGAGUGAUGAAGGUCUUCGGAUCGUAAAACUCUGUUAUUAGGGAAGAACAUAUGUGUAAGUAACUGUGCACAUCUUGACGGUACCUAAUCAGAAAGCCACGGCUAACUACGUG
rnacentral:rRNA from 1 species